rnacentral:rRNA from 1 species
GUGGGGAAUCUUCCGCAAUGGACGAAAGUCUGACGGAGCAACGCCGCGUGAGUGAAGAAGGUUUUCGGAUCGUAAAGCUCUUUCGUUAGGGACGAACGUGCUCUUUGUGAAUAAUGAGGAGUAAUGACGGUACCUAAAUAAGAAGCCACGGCUAACUACGUGCCAGCAGCCGCGGUAAUACGUAGGUGGCAAGCGUUGUCCGGAAUUAUUGGGCGUAAAGAGCGCGCAGGCGGGAUAUCAAGUCUGUCUUAAAAGUGCGAGGCUCAACCUCGUGAGGGGACAGAAACUGGUAUUCUUGAGUGUCGGAGAGGAAAGUGGAAUUCCAAGUGUAGCGGUGAAAUGCGUAGAGAUUUGGAAGAACACCAGUGGCGAAGGCGACUUUCUGGACGAUGUCUGACGCUGAGGCGCGAAAGCUAGGGGAGCGAACGGGAUUAGAUACCCCGGUAGUCC